rnacentral:rRNA from 1 species
UGGGGAAUAUUGGACAAUGGGCGCAAGCCUGAUCCAGCCAUGCCGCGUGAGUGACGAAGGCCUUAGGGUUGUAAAGCUCUUUUGGCGGGGACGCGGUACCCGCAGAAUAAGCUCCGGCUAACUUCGUGCCAGCAGCCGCGGUAAUACGAAGGGAGCUAGCGUUGUUCGGAAUCACUGGGCGUAAAGCGCACGUAGGCGGAUUUGUUAGUCAGGGGUGAAAUCCCGGGGCUCAACCUCGGAACUGCCUUUGAUACUGCAAAUCUCGAGUCCGGAAGAGGUGGGUGGAAUUCCUAGUGUAGAGGUGAAAUUCGUGGAUAUUAGGAAGAACACCGGUGGCGAAGGCGGCCCACUGGUCCGGUACUGACGCUGAGGUGCGAAAGCGUGGGGAGCAAACAGGAUUAGAUACCCGAGUAGU